GGCAAAAACCGGGCAAUCGCAAAAAGGCGUAAU
rnacentral:scRNA from 1 species